rnacentral:rRNA from 1 species
AGAGUUUGAUCAUGGCUCAGAUUGAACGCUGGCGGCAGGCCUAACACAUGCAAGUCGAGCGGUAACAGAAAGUAGCUUGCUACUUUGCUGACGAGCGGCGGACGGGUGAGUAAUGCUUGGGAACAUGCCUUGAGGUGGGGGACAACAGUUGGAAACGACUGCUAAUACCGCAUAAUGUCUACGGACCAAAGGGGGCUUCGGCUCUCGCCUUUAGAUUGGCCCAAGUGGGAUUAGCUAGUUGGUGAGGUAAUGGCUCACCAAGGCAACGAUCCCUAGCUGGUUUGAGAGGAUGAUCAGCCACACUGGAACUGAGACACGGUCCAGACUCCUACGGGAGGCAGCAGUGGGGAAUAUUGCACAAUGGGCGAAAGCCUGAUGCAGCCAUGCCGCGUGUGUGAAGAAGGCCUUCGGGUUGUAAAGCACUUUCAGUCAGGAGGAAAGGGUGUGAGUUAAUACCUCACAUCUGUGACGUUACUGACAGAAGAAGCACCGGCUAACUCCGUGCCAGCAGCCGCGGUAAUACGGAGGGUGCGAGCGUUAAUCGGAAUUACUGGGCGUAAAGCGUACGCAGGCGGUUUGUUAAGCGAGAUGUGAAAGCCCCGGGCUCAACCUGGGAACUGCAUUUCGAACUGGCAAACUAGAGUGUGAUA